rnacentral:rRNA from 1 species
UACGGAGGGGGCUAGUGUUGUUCGGAAUUAUUGGGCGUAAAGGGCGCGUAGGCGGCCUGGCAAGUGGAAGGUGAAAUCCCUCGGCUUAACCGAGGAACUGCCCUCCAAACUGCUUGGCUUGAGUCCGGGAGAGGUGAGUGGAAUUCCCAGUGUAGCGGUGAAAUGCGUAGAUAUUGGGAGGAACACCAGUGGCGAAGGCGAGUCUCUGGACAGUUACUGACGCUGAGGCACGAAGGCCAGGGGAGCAAACGGG